rnacentral:lncRNA from 1 species
AGGCAGCAAAGACCACUGGUGGACACAGUGAAUGACGGGGCGGAGGACCAUCGUGGGCAGGCGCUGCAGCUGCCUUAUCCACCAGGGGAGGUGGGCAAAGCCCAGUGUGUUCAGGAGCUGCCAGGCACCUGGAGCCUUUUGAGACCCUCUGACCCAGAACCAGGGAUGACAGGCCUUCAUUGUGGGCAACAAGGUCUCCUUCACCGACCACAACCUGCUGGACUUGCUGCUGGCCCACCAGGUCCUGGUGCCCGGCUAUCUGGGUGCCCUCCUCCUGCUCUCAGCCUACGUGGCACGCCUCAGCGCCCAGCCUAAGCUCGAGGCCUCCCUGGCUUCCCCUGAGUAUGGGAACGACCCCAUCUUUGGAGGCUACAAG